rnacentral:lncRNA from 1 species
UUUAUUUCUCAUAGAGGAUUAGUUACAAUAUUUGGGAUUAUGGGAAUACAAAGAUGAGGAUUAAAAAUAUAUACACAAAAAUAUGAGUAGAGGAGUAAAAACAUGACAUUUACCCUGUAUAUUACAAAGAUUUCAGUCUCAAAUCCCCAACUAAUAUAAAGAGACUGCAUCUAACACUUAAUACAUUCACCAUUUCUCAAUUUAAAAUCUUUAGAUUCUUGAACAUCUUUUUUGACUGCAUAGUUUCUUUUUCUGUUUGCCACGGAUCUCUUCUUGCUUGGCUCUAUCUCUCGCCCAUGUUUUGGCUUGAAGAGCCUCAUAUUGGUGAAGGCAUGACCUUGUUUGUCAGAGAAAAAAGAUAGUCAAAGACAUGACAUCAACAGAAAAACAUAGAAGACUAACGAGUUUAAAUAAAAAGAGAAGAAAGACAAACCUAUAGAUCUUUCGUGAAACCGUCAAUGAUGGCAGAGUUUUGAAGAAACAUAGUCACUUUUUU